CCUUUCCUAGAGAAUUGAAGACAGAAGUCCCAAAUUUGAUCACUGCUCUUGCAACCUUCGAACUCCAUGCACAGAUUUCAGAAUCCUACAGCAGUUUGAGACGUCAACCCCGUUUUCUUUGCUAACCAAGCAGCAGUAUAUGAUUCUCCUGUCCAAGAAUAUGUUCCUCCAACAUUUGAAAGAAUUAAUGCUGAUAGUAACUGUGCGUUGGAGUUAUCUUCACAAGUGACUGUUUCUAAUAGGACCUGCAUUGCCUCUUCUCUGAACCUUCUCUUAGAAUUUGAUCCUACCUGAAAGAGUUAUCCAUGAAAAGGAGGUAGCAUUCUCUCAAUCUAAUGUACGCGAUUAUGAAUCUGAGUUCAGAAUGGAUUAAUGAGUGUACCAGAAUGUCCAGAUGAAACAGAAGAUUUGCUGCCAAAAUUCGAUGCUUGAGUUCAGCUUGUUGCACACAGUUCAUUAACGUAUGCAUUAUACUGGCCCCUCCCUGCUGUCGUAUCCGAUGGAGCAGAUGAAUGGCUGAUGACCUGGAACUAACACAAGCAUGGAGCUUAUGAUCUUAUACUAUGCGAGUCUCUGGCCCCAAUAUGUUUGUUGUUUUACCUCUGAAUCUUCAGAAUCAGUCUGGGAAUCUGACUGGGAGUCC